rnacentral:rRNA from 1 species
UACGUAGGGUGCAAGCGUUAAUCGGAAUUACUGGGCGUAAAGCGUGCGCAGGCGGUGAUGUAAGGCAGAUGUGAAAUCCCCGGGCUCAACCUGGGAACUGCAUUUGUGACUGCAUCGCUGGAGUACGGCAGAGGGGGAUGGAAUUCCGCGUGUAGCAGUGAAAUGCGUAGAUAUGCGGAGGAACACCGAUGGCGAAGGCAAUCCCCUGGGCCUGUACUGACGCUCAUGCACGAAAGCGUGGGGAGCAAACAGG